UGGGGAAUUUUGGACAAUGGGCGAAAGCCUGAUCCAGCAAUGCCGCGUGUGUGAAGAAGGCCUUCGGGUUGUAAAGCACUUUUGUCCGGAAAGAAAUCCUUGGCUCUAAUACAGUCGGGGGAUGACGGUACCGGAAGAAUAAGCACCGGCUAACUACGUGCCAGCAGCCGCGGUAAUACGUAGGGUGCAAGCGUUAAUCGGAAUUACUGGGCGUAAAGCGUGCGCAGGCGGUUUGCUAAGACCGAUGUGAAAUCCCCGGGCUCAACCUGGGAACUGCAUUGGUGACUGGCAGGCUAGAGUAUGGCAGAGGGGGGUAGAAUUCCACGUGUAGCAGUGAAAUGCGUAGAGAUGUGGAGGAAUACCGAUGGCGAAGGCAGCCCCCUGGGCCAAUACUGACGCUCAUGCACGAAAGCGUGGGGAGCAAACAGGAUUAGAUACCCUGGUAGUCCACGCCCUAAACGAUGUCAACUAGUUGUUGGGGAUUCAUCUCCUUAGUAACGUAGCUAACGCGUGAAGUUGACCGCCUGGGGAGUACGGUCGCAAGAUUAAAACUUAAAUGAAUUGACGGGGUCAUAGCUGUUUCCU
rnacentral:rRNA from 1 species